GACGAACGCUGGCGGCGUGCUUAACACAUGCAAGUCGAACGGAAAGGCCCUGCUUUUGUUGGGUGCUCGAGUGGCGAACGUGUGAAAAACACGUGAAUAACCUGCCCUUGACUUUGGGAUAUCUUCAGGAAACUGGGGCUACUACCGGAUAGGAGCUCCUGCUGCAUGGUGGGGUUUGGAAAGUUUCGGCGGUUGGGGAUGUACUCGGGGCUUAUCAGCUUGUUGGUGGGGUAGUUGCUUACCAAGUCUUUGACGGGUAGCCGGCCUGAGAGGGUGACCGGCGACAUUGGGACUGAGAUACGGCCCAGACGCCUACGGGAGGCAGCAGUGGGGAAUAUUGCACAAUGGGCGGAAGCCUGAUGCAGCAAUGCCGCGUGUGGGAUGACGGCCUUCUGGUUGUAAAGCGCUUUCGCCUGUGACGAAGCGUGAGUGACGGUAAUGGGUAAAGAAGCACCGGCUAACUACGUG
rnacentral:rRNA from 1 species